ensembl:lncRNA
CUGCCUUCUGUCCUGUCUGCUUUGCGAAGAGCAGGGAGCUCCAGGAUUUGGGGGCUUUGCUCGGAUCGCUGGGAUCCAGUGACCAGGAUCAGCUGAAAUUUCUGCACCAGGACUUGGAGUCUUAGAGCACUUGUGUUGGAAGCAUCCUAGGCUACACCCAUCAUUCCCUGAGGAAACUGAGGCAUGGAGAGGAGACACAACAAAUUCCUGGUGAUGCAUGCAGUCAGAGGCCCAGCUGGCCCUCCAAUUCACCUUCCCUCUUCCUGCCGGAGCUGGUCCUCCCCUCAGUGGCCCCAUUGUUCCAUGCCUCAGUCUCAUCUCUUCUUCCCUCUAAACAUGGCUGCUGUCAUCUUGCCCCACAAGAGGAGCCCACGCUCACAUCACUUCCCUCUAGCUAUGUUUCUCGAAGCCAUUAUUUGAAAACUAUUUUCCUUACCAGGAGCCCCAGGCUCUUAGAACUGAAACCAAAACCUCACACAAGAAGGGAGAGCACUGUCCACAUAGAAUCCCAAACUUGGGCACAGAGGGCAAGUUUGGGCAUUGACUCCGUCCACUCCCUCUGCCUCUGUCCCCAUGGUACCGCAGCAACACGAAGACCUCAGAGCCAACAGAACUGUGGAUUAGAGCCAUCAGCCUGGAUGAACGCUUAGAGAUCAUCGAAUCCAACCCCUGUCCAGAUAGGGAAACUGAGGCCCAGAGAGGCAGAAGGCACAGAGCAGUUAGCAAGAAAGCAAGGACAAGACCUCCAGAUGCAACCUCCUGGGGAGGAGGAUGCACAGCCCCGUUCAUGGCCCCGUGUCUCAGCUCAUUCUUACCUCGCCUGGAGUCUGGUCCAGGUGUGGCUUCUUGCGCCUGGCGAUGGGGGGCCAGCCUGUGUGGGGAAUGGUUGGGGGUAUCACUGCUUCACGACUAACUUGACCCAGCCUCUGGCACCCCUCACUGCCACAGGGGCAUUUUUAAGCGACUGGCACUGGACCCCCUCCCCUUAGCCCCUUGCCCGCGGCUCCCUGGCCACAGAGGGUUCUCUGCCUUUUACCUUAUAAGAGCUAAAGAGGCGAGCCUGGUGCUGGGGAGAGGUGGGUGCGGAGUCCUCCCGGGGUCCCCCAUUGGCCCAGGAGCCCAACACGUGACUGCCUCGCCUUGACCUGCCCCUAGUGCCGAAUGUUGCUUUUACCCCCUAAGGAAGGAGUGGUUGACAAUUUUCAUAUUUCUUCUAAAUUUGGAGAUUUCAGACAAUGCUGGGAGGCUUGGCUCCAGCCGCCAGAGGCCCAUGUGGAAGUCAUUAAGCUCCAGGAGGGGGCAGGGGGAGAGAGGGAGGCAGGGCGAAGAGGAGGAGGAGGAGGAAGAGGUGGGGGACGAGCUCUGAGGGCUGCCAGUUGUCAGCCUGGGAACACGAGCAAACUCCCUGGGAGAAAGCUAUGUGUGAGAAUCUCCUUCCUCUCCUGGCUCCCGAGUCCCAGGAAGGAAGUGAGAGUUCUGAGACUUUCUUGGAAUCCCCAGUGAGGAAGGCAUCAGUCUCGGGGUCCUGGGGGUGAUGGGGAUAGCAGGGCAUGGGAGACCACGGGGGAAGUAAGUUUCUUGGAUGGCCAUCCUUGUCACUGUGCAGAGGAGGCCCAGGCCCCCCCACAGCGAGGCUGCCAUAGACAGGGCAGGGGCUGGGAUCAUGGAUGUCCUAUUGCAGGCUCUUGUUCCCUGAGGAGUGAGUAUCUCUCACCAUAGAGGCCUUUCUUAUUGUGCUUUGGCCACCUUGACCUCCUAUAGAUGCCUUAGCUUUUUUUUUUUUUGCCUCAGGGCCUUUGCAUAUACACAUGCUUUCUGUCCAAAAUGCUCUCUUCCUAGAGUGAAUCAUGCCCAAUUCUUUUUUUUUUUUUUUUGGUACCAGGGAUCGAACUUGGGUCCUUCUGCUUGCAAGGCAGGCGGUGGAACCACUGAGCUAAAUCCCCAGCUCUAAUCAUGCCCAAUUCUUUCCCCUGCUCCUAUUCCCGGUUCAACUGUCACUCUGGGCAGAGCCUUCCCCCAGUCACAUCCCUGUUCACCACAACUCCUGCUCACCUGACAGGACUCAGCACGCAUGUGCUCACCUGGCAUGCUUGCUCGUCUAGUUCCUUGCUGUCCAUCUCUUCCGUGAGAACAUGGCUCCCUGGGCAGGGUCUACAUCUCCAGGCUUCCCACAGCGCCUAUAAAGAAUGGUUCAGUAGCAGCCACUUGCCAAGAAGCUGCCACACUGAGGCCUGCAGAGCUCCUCCCAGUGGCCGGCCAUGCCUUGCACCGAAGGUGUGGAGAGCCAGGUCAGAUAUGGCCCUGGCCUUAAGAGGCCCCAUCCAGCCAGGCAUGGUGGCACGUGCCUGUAAUCCCAGCUUUCUGGGAGCCUGAGGCAAGAGGGGACCCUGUUUUAAAAUAAACAACAAAAAAGGGCUAGGGCUGUAGCUCAGUACGUAAGCCCUGUGUUCAAUCACCAGUACCCUUCCCCCGAGAAUUGUGAGUACAAGAGCCCAACAUACAGCGGACUUGUCAUUAACAUCACCUCCUUCUUUCCUGAACCCCAAAGACAGAUUCCAUACAUGUGCACAACCCUGGAGCGCAAGUGAAAGGGCAGGAGGCCUGUAACCCCCCACUUCCUGCCUGUGCGAUGUGUCCCAGUUUAAUACUCGGAAGUGCCACCAAAACAGCCCAGGGCACAGGUGAAGUGAGCCCAACGGAACCACCAUGGAGAUUCCACUGUGCAGACAGAAACUGAAGUUAUGCCAGUGUCUCAACAUCCACACCCAAGAUGCUUCAUCAUAACAGAUGCAAGCUGUGGAGAGACCCAUUUUAACAACCCAAGAGCCCCGACCUGCGGAGGACUCGAGUCAGCUCCGUCUGGGAGUCAGUGGGCUUGGUUAAGAGAGGUCAAGGCAAAGGACUGGAGAGACCUGCUGCAGGUCGCAGGAGGACAGAAGAGGGGUAUCCCCCACACCAAAAUAUCCCCAAAGAAUAACUAAAUGACAGCCUUUCAGGACUUGGGCUCCAUAAAUUUGUCUCGAACAUUUCAGAAGCAGUUUUUCUUUCUGUCUGUGUGGUCUCUUGGGAUUUCUGAGCACUUUACAUCUAUGAGCCACUAUGUGAAGGGGCUUUUCCUUCCAGACUGUGAAGAAGCAGCCCUGAGCCCCCUCCAAUCCCCGGGGGAGACAGGGCCGCAGCCUUAGUCUGUGUGAGCAGGGAUUCAUGGAGGUAAGGGGAGACUCUCGUUAGGAGCCAGGUAGGAGAGUGUGUUUGCCUUGGAGAGUUCUAUGUCCUCAGAAGGUGGCAGUCAAGGGAAGAGGGACCCAUCCAGGAAGGCGAGGGGAGCUGGAGAAGAGACAGCCACCUGACCCUCUACAGGGUAACCAGACCUCCAUGUAGCCAGGCAGGGUGGCACCUGCCUGUAAUCCCAGCAACCUGGGAGGCUGAUGCAGGAGAACUGCAAGUUGGAGGCCAACCUAAGGGACGAAGGCCUGGUCUCAAAAUAAUUAAAGAGGGCUGGGAAUGUAGUUCAGUGGUUUAGCAACCUUGUAUUCAAUCCCUAGCCACACCCCCCUCAAAAAAGCUUCAGUUGGUACAGUGGGAACCUUCAGGAAGGUGGACUCUACACCCGCAUAGGAAUGACUGAAUCAGUGGAGACAUGCAGGGUGAGAUGGGCCAAGGGGCUCUCUUGGUAAAGUGGUAGGUCGUGCAAGCAGAAGCUGGUUGACAACUUGGCAAAUCCUUCCAUCCCUGAGACCCCACAAACUUUACCUCAUACCUUGUGUUCUGUCCCGUCUCUAGCCCUGACUUCACACCCAUUCUGUCCAAAAGACACAGCUCAGAGGGGCUCAGCUGGUAAACAAUUAUGUACUGGACUAGGCCGUAACCCUUGUGUUAAAAAUUAAGCUCCGCAUGUUCUUUUCAAAGAGCACAAAACGUGUUGAUGGAGCUUGAACCUGGGAG